AAGUUACACUCAUUUCAUUCACUCACACAAAGUGGCUAUAAAAGCUUAAAUGGAAUUGAGAGAGAAGUGAAAAAAGAAGAUAGAGUUGGAGAACCCAAGUGAAGAUGAGAGCUAGGAUUCACUAGAGGAUUAAGGAUUUUGGUGGAUUAGCUAAUCAUUAUAGGAAACAAGAUUUCAGGAAAGCAUGAUUAUCACAUGUUUUUUCAACGCAUACCAUGUCCCAAGGAUAAAAUUCUUGAUUGCAAUCUACUUGAAUGUUGGUGCAAAUAAAAGACAUACUUGAUUGCAAACUAUAUUCAAAUUGACAUGGAAAGUAAUAAGUGGAGCAUCAAUUGUGACAGAGGAGUCAAGGACUUGUGCAUAGCUUUAUUUUUUUAGUGUCUUAUUGGUUUUGUUAAAUUCCUAUGAAUUUUGUUGUUAUUUUAUUUGGUUUUUUUAGGUUUGCAAACUUAUGAGUUAUAACAUUAUUGUUAUCUCUAAACUUUUGCCCCGUGCAACGAACGGGUCCUAUGUAUUGUAAUAAAGAUCAAUAAAUUAUAUUAUAUAUUACUAUUGAUGUUAAAUAA